rnacentral:lncRNA from 7 species
AGAAUGAAGACUGGAUGGCAAGAUGUGAUGGUUGGAGGAUAAAAUAAUGCAAAAAGGACUUUAGUACUGGCAUAAGAGAAAGCAGCCAUAAUGAAGUUGUUGUUCCACUGCAUGAUAAGAGUUAAUACUGCCUUGAUAGAUAGGUCAAUUAUGUUUCUUGACUGUCCUGGGAAGCUCUAGAGCCUUCAGUGAGGAACAGGGAACAGAAGCUGCCUGGGGAAUCCUUUGACUGGUGAAUACCUGCUGCUGCAGAGAGGAUCUCAAACGUACACCACUCAUAAAUCCCAGGAUAAAAUCAAACAGGACUCUGGAGCUGUGCUGGUGUUAUUUGGUGAGUGAUGAAGAAGCAAGCCAGCAGAGGGGGAGGUGCGGCACCUCUUCCACUGGCUGUGUGGAUAAAGAAAACAUGGCAGGAAACUAUGUGCUGCCAGUGAAUGGUAUUUGCUGCUGCGGCAGCCUACUGUAGCCUGAUCCUCUGAAGUACUGGCAUUUAUUUCAUCUAGAAGAUUCUGAAAAAUAAAUAAAUAAGCCAGCUAGAGAAACUUACCAGGAAACCUAAGACCUGCAUGAGCUUCUGGGAAUGCUCACUGGAACCUGUCUGCAAGGAAAACAAUUGCAGAAUAUCUACUUUUGAUUAAUAUAUCUUUGUACAUCUCAGUAUGAAACUUUUUCAUUUCAGAAUGAGUGUUUGAAUAAGGAGUCUAUUCAGGAUAGCAAUCUUCCUUUACAUUUACACAAUUGUUAAAAGUUAUUUAAGCUCCUAGUUCACAUAUGUCCUUAGAAUGUCACUUUCAACUGAGUAGCAUUACUUUAUUUGCAUGGUACUUGAAGUACUUUGAUACCCCGUUGAAGGUUGUGUAAGAUUAAUGGGAUUCAGAACUUUCAGCUGAUCUUUAGUUCUGUCUCUUGCUAAUGUAGGAGCCACAACUAGUUUUUUCCUGAAUAGAUAGCAAUAAAAAUAGGAGGGAUAACAAUGAUAUUGAGUUGUAAGUGGGAUAAAAUGAGUAGAAGAUAUAUCUGGAGAAGAAAAAUAUGACAACUAGCAUAGAGAAAAGUGAUAUCUUUCCCAAGCAGAUUUGCUUUUCAACAUUGCAGUAAAAAUGUCGAGUGAUGGCUGAAGAGUGGAUUUUUGUGACUGUAAGGAUCAGACCUGAAUAUAUGAAUGAAAUUGGGUGGCUUCAGUGCAGAGAAGCUGUAUGAAGAGAAGUUGCAUGGAAUAUUGUUUUCAGAAUGUUGAAUCUCAGAGAUGGAAUUCUGACUUAAAAUAAACAUCCUUGUUUG